UUUUUUUUUUCACCCUGACAGAGCCUCGCUUCCAGGCUGGAGUGCAGUUGUGUGAUCUUGGCUUACUGCAGCCUCCACCUCCUGGGCUCAAGUGAUCCUCCUGCCUCGGUCUCCCAAAGUGCUGGGAUUAAAGGCAUGAGCUACUACAUCCAGCCAAAAGCUACAUUUUCAAGACUAGAUAAAAAGGCUACAAGGUUCAUCUGCAAGUUUCUUCAAAUGGUUGCAAUGCUUACUGCAACCUCCAUCUCCUAGGCUCCAGUGAUCCUCCUGCCUCAGCCUCCCAAAGUGCUGGGAUUACAAGCAUGAGCAGUAGCUCAUUUUUGUCCAAAAGCUGCAUUUCCAAGACCAGAUUUAACCAAACUGCAAAGUCUGAGGGCAUGGUUCCUAAAAUUUCCCUCAUUCCUGACACCAACAGCAAGUUUUAGAGGUUUCCAAAGCACCCCAAGUUUCAAUCAUUUGCUGGAAGAACUCAUAGAAGUCAUUGAAAACUGCUAUACACAUGGUUACUGUUUACUGCAGGGAAAGGAUACAAAUCAGAACCAGCACAGAGGGCAGGGCUAGGAGGGUCUGUGAAGCCUCUGUUGUCCUCAGGUGCAUUACUCUCCCAGCAUCCACGUGUGACAAUACCAUGAAGCACUGCCAACCUAGGAACCUCACCCAAGCCUUGGUGUCCAGAGUGUUUCCUGGAACUGCAUUGUGCAGCGAUAAUUGACUGAUCUGUUGGAGACUGGUUGGAACUCUGUCUUCACCUCUCCCUUUCCCAGAAUCUGGGGCUGACAGCACAUUCCUGGGAGGGCCCACCAUGAGCCAGCUGGUAGCAUAAACUUCAGGUAUAGUCUGAGGGGCCCACCAUGAAUAGCAAAGACCCUCCUGUCACAUGGUCUUCAGGACUACUUGCCAGGAGCCAGGACAAAGGCUAGACCUCUUCUUUGGGCUAGGCCAAAUUCUUUACCACACAGAAAUCAUAUUUAGGAUUCAAAUGUGCCAUUUUUAUUUGCUUUCUGCAUGUUUCUUAUGUUUCCUUUAUCCUGUUUCGUUUCACUUGUCAUGGAUUACUUAAACAGUUUUUAGCAUUUCAUUUUGAAUUAUUUAUACUUUUGGGUGCAUUGCUUUGUAUCGUUUUCUAAGUGGCUGCUCUAGGAUUGAUUAUAAUAUACACAUGUAACUUAUCACAGCCUGCUGGCAUCAAUGUUUCACCACUUCAUGAGAAAUAUCAAAAGCUUACUUUUAUUUACUUCCCCUUUUCCUCCCCCACUUAAACAUGUAAUUAUCAUAAAUAUUUCCUGUUCAGAUGUAGAGCACCGCAGCAGAUGAUGUUAAUAUUUUUUGCUUCAACCAUAAAAUACGAUUUAAGAAACUCAUCAUAGUCUAUUAUACUUACCAUAUGAUUACCCCUUCUGUUGUUGCUAUUUCUGAUUUCCUUAUUUCCUUUUUAUUAGUAGAGCUUCCUUCAGCCAUUUAUUAAGGGUAGGUUUUCUGGUAACAAAUUAUUCUAGUUGUCCUUCCUCUUAGGAUAUCUUUAUUUCCUUCUCAUCCCUGAAGGAUACAUUCACUGAAUAGGGUUCUGGGCAGAGAGUUUUUCUCAGCACCUGGCGAUGGUGUGUCGCCCCCUCUGCCUCAUGGUUUUAGAGAAGCCCACCAUCCUCAGAACCAGUGUCCCUUAAUGCAUCGUUUUUCUCUGGUGGUUUAAAAGAUUUUUUUCUUCAUCUUUCCUUUCCUGAAGUUCCAUUAUGAUGUGUUUAUCCUAUUUGGGGUUUGCUCAGAUUCUUGAAUCUGCAGGUUUACUUCUUUCACCAAAUUUGGGACGUCUUCAACCACUGUGCCUUUGAAUACUUUUUCACCACACAUUCCUUCCUCUCCUCCUGGGACUCUGGUGACAGGAACGCUGGGCCUUUUGUCACUGUCCCACCCAUCCCCGAGGAGGCGUUCAUUUCUCAGCCUCCUAUCUCUCCAUCGUUCCUAUGGGCCAGCUCUAUUAAUUUUCCUUGAAUCAACAGACUCUGUUCUCUGUCGUCUCCACUCUGCUAUUGUACCCAACUGCACAUUUUUUCAUUUAGUUAUUGUAUUUUUCAGUUGUAUGAUUUUCAUUUUGUUCUUGUUUCAAGAAAAUUCGCCGUUGUUUUCUGAAGCACUUUUAUGAUGGCUGCUUUAAAGUUCUAACAUCUGAUUUAUCUUGGUUAAUCUUAUUUUGCUAUUUAAGUUGUUUUUUGUUUUGCUCUGUUAUGUUUUUGAGACAGAGUCUUACUCUGAUGCUCAGACUGGUGUGCAGUAGCAUGAUCUUGGCUCACUGCAGCCUCAAACUGCCGGGCUCAAGCGGUCUUCCUGCUUCAGCCUGCUAAGUAGCUGGCACCACACGUGUGUGCCACCACAGGUGUGUGCCACCACAGCUGGCUAAUUUUUAAAUUGUUUGUAGAGACAGGGUCAUGCUGUGUUGCCCAGGCAGAUCUCAAACUCCUGGGCUCAAGCCAUCCUCCUGAUUGACCUUCCAAAGUGCUGGGAUUACAGGUGGGAGCCCCCUCACCAGGCUUCAAGUUGCUUUUUAUGUUUCCUGAUAUGACAAAUAAUUUCAAAUAUGUUCUGGAGAUUUCGGUUAUUAUGUAAGGAAACUUUUUAUCCUAUUUGAACAUUCCAGUUCAGUCCAUGGUACCCUUAUUUGGUUUACCAUAUAGGCCCCAGCCUGCUUUAGGGGAAAUGUAGAGUCAAUGACAAUUUAGUUUUCAAAGCCCUCCCAGUGCUAUUCUGGUCUCGUUUGUUCUUCUGGAUCUGCUGGGGCUCUGGUUCAAUCCCUGCGCAUGUUGCUGGGGUUGCCCUGUGCGGUGGGGGUAGGUUAAGGAAACGCCGGGUUCUGGGUGUGGUCUCUGCGCUGUGGUCAGCAGAGCCUUUGUGGCCUGGGUGUGAUGCUGAGGGCCAGGCCUGAGCGGAGCUGCUAUGACAUGGAUCAGUAGGAAUCUCCUCACUGGGUCUUCAGUGAGAUGCCCUUCUCAGUCCUUUCACCAGAGAAAAUAGGCUUGUUUUCUUUUCUUUUUUCCCCCUGCAGGUUUUGGCAGUUACAGGUUGCAGGGUUCUCUGGGCCCAUCCAGGAGAUGAGAGAGAAAAAGAAAACUCAAGGCCUGGUACAGCAUCACCCCCAAAGUCCCGAGGUUCCUGGACAGCCUUUCUUCCUCUCCACUUCCUAGAGUCCUCUUAUGUCUGUUAAAUUUUUUCCAGGGUGUCUAGUUGUAUUUAGAGGGCAGAUGCUACCUCCUCAUAGAAUGCCGGGGUCCACUCUCCAGGCAUUUGGAAUGAGUUGCCACGAGGUCCUCGGGAGGGUGUGACAGUUCACAUGCCCACCAGCAGCGUUUCCACGUCUCCAUUUCCUCUGCCCCUGACAGCAUCUAAUGUUAUGAUUUUUGUUUGUAAAUUUGGCUUUUGGUUCCUUUAUGAGGGGAUUAAUUAAUACAGGCUGCUGGCUCCUUCCCACGAAUCCAAACCUUGGAGAUGCCAUCAAAGGGAUGACAGUUGAUGGAGCCCAGAACCUAAGAGGACCCCUGAGAGCCUUGCGGAGGCUGGGCAAACGUGGUGGAGUCUGGGACAGGAGGGGAACCACAGUCUGAGUGGAGGAGGCCACACAGCACAACCCGGGCCAGACUGCAGCUCUCUGCUCCGGGGCCCACCUGGGGCUGUCAUCUGUCGGCCCUGCUUUCCUGUAGAAGAUCCCAUCUGUACCAGCCCCAGGAAUCUAGGCAAGGCCAGAGCACCUCAGGAGCCUCCUGGACUGAAGGCCACAACACCUGGGCAGGCUGGCUGGUCGCCCCUGGGCAGCCUUCCUCCCCAGCCCAAGGACAGCCAAUUACAGCACAGGGCAGCCCUGGACAGACAGCACCAGCUAGGAGGACAGGGGCAUUCCCUGCAGACCAGAGCAGCCCCCAGGGAUGAGCAAAGAGGGCCCCAGUCAUCCUGCCAGAGGCUCUGCCCCGAGGAGCCCCUGCCUGCCUCCCUGAAACCCACCAGGAAGGUGUCAACUGGGGCCUAAGACGAAGGCAGCUGACCAUACCCACGGAACAGAGAGCGGCCUGAGGAAAUGAGACAGCGAGGGGAGUGAACUCCGGGAGGGAAAAACCCCAAGGUUUUUCCUUGGAGGAGGGAGCAGAUGAGCGGAUAAGACCGGUAAAUCCGUCACAUACCCUCAGGACGCAGGGAGAGCGCGGCUGGAAUCGGCAGUUAUGCAGAAGAUGCAGCCGGGAAUACUGGACUGGAACACGCGGGCGCUUAAGUGAUGAACUUGGUGGGAAGGUUGGAGACCAGAAAAUGAACGAGUGAGACAGGUCAGGCUCUGAGCUCUUCUAGAAGGAUCUGAAGGUGUGAGGAGGCAGAGGUGAGGGAGGAAAAAUAUUCAGUGCUUGGAAGAGGAAAAAUGAAUAGAUAAGAGGAAAUAUCUGAAAAAUGAUUAGGAAAUUUCCCCAAUUAAGAAAAGAUGCACAUCCUCAAACUGAAAGGGCCUGCAGAGCGUUAAUUACAUUUUAAAGUUAAAAUCUUAUGUGUAAUUUCAAAGAAAAGCAUCUACAUUUUGAGUCAAAAUUGCUAAAAACUUCCAAAGAGAAAAAGCAGGUAACCCGCACAGGAACGGGAGUGGUGCUGACAUUAGAAUCGCGGCACAGACAACGGAUGCAAGAAGAAAGGGAGUGACAGCUUCAGACGCGAGAGGAAAGGACCCUGGAACCCAGGGCUGCGUCCUGCUCACCGCCAUGAAAUAUGGGCACGCAGGAAGCCAUCCUCAGUCCUAUCAGCCCCCUUGAGAGUCAACCCCAAAAACACUCUUGGAGAAAUAUUUCAGCAAGAAAAAGGAACCGGGGAGGAUGCUGCCAGGUCUAGGGAGGAGUUGUGCUUCCCCAGCGUGGAUGGUUCACUGCCAUCUAAGUAAGCAAUGACCUCCGCGUGUGCCGCACAGUCCAGCUUCCUCAGAGGCGGUGGUGGCCUGGUGGAGGAAUGUGGGCUGGCUGGGCGGCCACAGAGAAUUACUGUUUCCAUUAAAAGGAAAUGUCUUCUGGCCGGGAGCCCUGGCUCACACUGUAAUCCCAGCAUUUUGAGAGGCUCAGGCGGGUGGAUCGCUUGAGGUCAGGAGUCUGAGACCAGCCUGGCCAACCUGGUAAAACCCUGUCUCUGCUAAAAAUACAAAACUUAGCUGGGCGUGGUGGUGGGCACCUGUAAUCUCAGCACUUUGGAAGGCUGAGGCGGGCGGAUCACUUGAGGCUAGGAGUUCGAGACCAGACUGACCAACAUGGGGAAACCCCAUGUCUACUAAAAAUACAAAAAUUAGCCUGGCAUGGGGGCACAUGCCUGUAGUCCCAGCUACUCGGGAGGCUGAGGCAGGAGAAUCGCUUGAACCCGGGAGGUGGAUGUUGCAGUGAGCCAAGAUCACACCACUGCACUCCAGCCUGGGCAACAGAGCAAGACCCUGCCUAAAAAAAGAAAAAAAGUGUCACAUGGAGAUGUGUGUCCAUUUGGGACUGUUUUCCAGCCUUUCCACACUCUCCCCCUCCCCAUCUGUCCCUCCAUCUCCACCAAGCUGUGUUUUGAUGUUGUGUUUGCAUGAUUUGGUGUAUCUGGCAUUUUAACAUUUCAUCCUUGCCACUAUUUAUUAUUUUCUGUUUCUUCAUAGUAGCCACUAAAUUGAUUUCAGGUGAUAUCUCAUUGUGGUUUUGAUUUGCAUUUAUCUAAUAAUUAGUGAUAUUUAGUGUGUUUUCAUAUGCUCAUUGGCCAUCAGUACAUCAUCUUUGGGAAAAUGUCUGUUCAAGUCAUUUGCCUGUUUUUAAAUCAGGUAAUUUGUUGAUUUGUUGUUGAACCAUGGAGACAUAAUUUUAAACCACAACACCUAUCUUGCAGAUUGCGGUGAGAACUAAAAGAUUUAUGUAUGCAGAUCAUAUUACCUGUCACGUAGUAGGCACUCAAAAAUUAUUACUUGUCUUCCUAGGGUUGUUAUGUUAAAUAAUGUUAUGUUAAUAACAUAUGUAAAACUGCUUCUUAAAUUAUAAAGUGCUAUGCAAAUGUGA